rnacentral:rRNA from 1 species
UGAACGCUGGCGGCGUGCCUAUUACAUGCAAGUCUAGCGAACGGACGAGAAGCUUGCUUCUCUGAUGUUAGCGGCGGACGGGUGAGUAACACGUGGAUAACCUACCUAUAAGACUGGGAUAACUUCGGGAAACCGGAGCUAAUACCGGAUAAUAUUUUCAACCGCAUGGUUCAAACGUGAAAGAUGGUAUUGCUGUCAUUUAUAGACGGAUCCGCACUGCAUUAGCCAGUUGGUAAGGUAACGGUUUACCAAGGCAACGAUGCAUAGCCGACCUGAGAGUGAGAUUGACACCACUGGAGAUGAGACGCGAUCCUGACACCGACGGGAGGCAGCAGAAAGGAAGCUUCCGCAAUGGGCGAAAGCGUGACGAAGACACGGAGCGAGGGUGAAGAAAGUCUACGCAUCGUAAAACUCUAUUAUUGGAGAAGAACAUAUGUGUGAGUAACUAUGCAAAUCUUAACGAUACCUACUCAGAAGGCCACGGCUAACUACGG